ACACCUCAACUCCUCAUGGUUUGCCAUGAUGAGCUUGGACUCUGGGGGUUUUGCUGGCCUGCGGUCGGCUCCCCUCAAAUGAAUCAGCCUCCCAGUGUUUGGUGGCAUCGCGGGUGUGAUAAAUAUCUACGCUCGCGGUUGUCUGCCAGGUAACCUUUGGUGACAAAGGUUUGCUGGAGCUCACAGAUGUCUCUCCUUGGCGAGGACAGCUUUUGAAC
rnacentral:misc_RNA from 1 species